rnacentral:rRNA from 1 species
CGGCAACAGCUCAAAUUUGAAAUCUGGCCUUCUGGUCCGAAUUGUAAUUUGUAGAGGAUGCUUUUGGUGAGGUGCCUUCCGAGUUCCCUGGAACGGGACGCCAUAGAGGGUGAGAGCCCCGUACGGUUGGAUGCCUAGCCUCUGUGAAACUCCUUCGAC